rnacentral:rRNA from 1 species
AACGAACGCUGGCGGCAUGCCUAACACAUGCCAGUCGAACGAGACCUUCGGGUCUAGUGGCGCACGGGUUCGUAACGCGUGGGAACCUGCCCUUAGGUUCGGAAUAACUCCCCGAAAGGGGUGCUAAUACCGGAUAAUGUCUUCGGACCAAAGAUUUAUCGCCGUUGGAUGGGCCCGCGUUGGAUUAGCUAGUUGGUAGGGUAAAAGCCUACCAAGGCGACGAUCCAUAGCUGGUCUGAGAGGAUGAUCAGCCACACUGGGACUGAGACACGGCCCAGACUCGUACGGGAGGCAGCAGUGGGGAAUAUUGGACAAUGGGCGAAAGCCUGAUCCAGCAAUGCCGCGUGAGUGAUGAAGGCCUUAGGGUUGUAAAGCUCUUUUACCCGGGAUGAUAAUGACAGUACCGGGAGAAUAAGCGCCGGCUAACUCCGUG